GACGGAAGGUGCAAGCGUUGCUCGGAAUCACUGGGCGUAAAGGGUGCGUAGGCGGCCGUGCAAGUCUGGCGUGAAAGCCCCGGGCUCAGCCCGGGAAGUGCGCUCGAAACUGCGCGGCUCGAGUGCCGGAGGGGAGAGUGGAAUUCCUGGUGUAGCGGUGAAAUGCGUAGAUAUCUGGAGGAACACCGGUGGCGAAGGCGGCAUCCUGGACCGGCAUUGACGCUGAGGAGCGAAAGCCAGGGGAGCAAAGCGGGG
rnacentral:rRNA from 1 species